rnacentral:rRNA from 1 species
GACAGAGGGGGCAAGCGUUGCUCGGAAUCACUGGGCGUAAAGGGCGCGUAGGCGGGAUGGCAAGUCGGUCGUGAAAUCCUUCGGCUCAACCGAAGAACGUCGGCCGAUACUGCCGUUCUUGAGGGAUGCAGAGGAGAUUGGAAUUCCCGGUGUAGCGGUGAAAUGCGUAGAUAUCUGGAGGAACACCGGUGGCGAAGGCGACAUCCUGGACCGGUAUUGACGCUGAGGCGCGAAAGCCAGGGGAGCAAACGGG